GACGAACGCUGGCGGCGUGCUUAACACAUGCAAGUCGAACGGAAAGGCCCUGCUUGCAGGGUACUCGAGUGGCGAACGGGUGAGUAACACGUGGGUGAUCUGCCCUGCACUUCGGGAUAAGCCUGGGAAACUGGGUCUAAUGCCGGAUAGGAGCCAUUUUUAGUGUGAUGGUUGGAAAGUUUUUUCGGUGUAGGAUGAGCUCGCGGCCUAUCAGCUUGUUGGUGGGGUAAUGGCCUACCAAGGCGGCGACGGGUAGCCGGCCUGAGAGGGUGGACGGCCACAUUGGGACUGAGAUACGGCCCAGACUCCUACGGGAGGCAGCAGUGGGGAAUAUUGCACAAUGGGCGCAAGCCUGAUGCAGCGACGCCGCGUGGGGGAGGACGGCCUUCGGGUUGUAAACUCCUUUCGCUAGGGACGAAGCUUUUUGUGACGGUACCUAGAUAAGAAGCACCGGCUAACUACGUG
rnacentral:rRNA from 1 species